AUGAAUCAUCACACUAAUAACAGAUAUUCAAACAACCAUGUGACGCUGAGAUGUAAUAUGGUUCUUUGGAUACUUCUAAAGCUGUUGAUGAUUCGUUAUUGGUUCUUCGGAUCAGUGUUUUGGUUUCUGACCUCUUUAAAGCACCGUACAAAACAGCUGCUGAAUUCAGAGAAAUGGAGUCUGGUUUCAUCCAUUAUCUCCACUGAAUUGAAGAGUUCAGAUAGAGAGGAAGAGGAAGGUCAACACAAUCUGACGAAGAGCUGUUUACAAUCACCAAACCCAUCUGAAGCAGUAAUCCCUACCCAUAAUCCACUGGACCUGAAUGAUGAACACAAACAAGCCGAAAAGGACCAACAAUUGGAUUAAGAGUAAUGGCUUCUCAAACACUUCAUUCAGAAAUACAUUUUAAAAGAAAUCAUUCUCAAAUGACUGUGAGCACAAGCACCACUGUCUGCAGCCAAAUAUUAGUUCUGAAGGAUUUGUCCCACAACAGGUUAUUAAAUCUAUCGACCAAAAGUCUGUUUUUAAGUCACUUCAGAGGUUUGAUAAGACAAUCCUGAUCCUGAAGAUCCUGAAUUCCAAAGAACACAGUAAAUCUUUGAGGCUGAGAUUAAACGGAGCAGUCGGCUGUAAGUCCUAAUCCAAGAUUUGGGAUCCCGCAGUAAAUCCGGCUGAUUCCCUUCUGCUGGAAUCUCAGAGGUUUAAGAUCAAAGUUUGGUCAGUGUACUUAAGAAUUCAUCAGCGGCAGUAAGACAUGUCAAAAUAAUGACUUCAAAGGUCAUUUUUCGCUGUUGAGGUAUUUCUCUGUUAUUUUUUUGACACUAGAGCCUUGUUAACAACAACAACAAAAACUCUUAAAGUAAUGUUUCUGUCAUACUUAAAACAAUUCAAAUAUGAUUAAUCAAGAAUUCUCUACAAACUAAAUGAACUGACAUUAUAGAUUUUGACAUUUAGACUGACAAUGACAUUAUACAUUUAAGAAUAUAUUUUAUUAUAUAUUAUAAAUACAUAUACACACACACAUAUAUAUAUAUCAUUUAUAUUUAAUAUUAUAUUUAAAGGUGUGAAUACAUGAAGAUGAAAAAAAUUAAAAAAAAUGUAUUUUAACUAAUUUUAUAGCUGAUUAUUUAUGUAUUUUAUAUUUAUUACAUUUAGUUGGAUAUACUUGACAAUACAUUAUAAUAUACAUAAUAUUUAUAAUAUAAUAAAAAUAUAUAAUAAAUAAAAUAUAUAAUAAGAAAAUAAAUAAAUAAAGCAAAUAAAUAAUAAUACAGCAAGAUCUUAUUUCAUUUUCAGAGUAUUCUUGUUUGAUUGUAUUAGGACUAGUUUGAGAUUAUGAAACAAUUCCAUUGGCAUUCAGAUUCCUUUAAGAUUUCUGGACAAGUUGCUGAAAAUACACAGACACGGUUUGAGCAUGUUAUGGUUACAAUGUCACUUCAUGAAUCUAUGAGGCUAAACCAGUACCAACAGGAAACACCAUCAUUAACAUACCACAAAGUAAAAUAUUAAAUGCAAGACUCAGGAUUUGUUUCAGGAUGUUUCUCAAACUCAAAUUUCAGAUCGUCCCAUUCACUUCCUCACACAUCCCAAGCUAGCUGAAGACCGAAAUGUUUUCCUAAAUCUCCACUCUGAAUUUAACAAAAGGGCCUCAAUUAGAGACACCCCCAAAUCCAUCCUACUUAGUGAGGUUUUCAUUUAGCUUCCCUGUGUUUGUGUUCAGUGUUCACAUACGUCUGUGUGACACAUAGUAAAAAAAAAAAAAAAAGGGAACAAUUAGGCUUGAAUGCAAACAAAAUAAUGACUGGGGACUCAUUAACACAAGCUGCCCACUGUGUGCACAGGAACAAUUCAUGGAAACGACACAAUUAAGCCUCUACAAGGAGGGAACCAGGCAACUGGUGUGCAAACAAGCAACUCCAACCCAACCUGAACCAGAAAACAAUCAGAAGCGCUUUCAUUUAGACAUGCUACCUGCAAACCUGAUAUCAGAGUCAUGAGAAAAAGACCAAACACGUGGAAGAAAAUUGCCAGAGAACAAGAAAGAAACAUAUUAAGAGGCAAAUGCAAUGAAACAGCAAUGCAAAAUUAAUUCAUAUUUAGAGAUGUCUUCUAAUAUGUCUCUGAGGUGAACUUUGAUGUAAAUUUAGAUGCUUAAAUCUUAACAUAUUCCAAUGGAAUGAAUAAAACAACACUGAUAAAUAUUAGUAAAUCGAUCCUUUCUGAAGCUUAUUUUGACACUGCAUUCAAAUAAUAUGAUUUAUGUACAUCUAGGCACUUCUACCAGCAGAAGAUGCUGGAAAACCAAAGAAUGUGCAGGAGCUGGAGGAUUUUUCU
rnacentral:lncRNA from 1 species